rnacentral:rRNA from 1 species
GACGAACGCUGGCGGCGUGCUUAACACAUGCAAGUCGAACGAAGAGCGAUGGAAGCUUGCUUCUAUCAAUCUUAGUGGCGAACGGGUGAGUAACGCGUAAUCAACCUGCCCUUCAGAGGGGGACAACAGUUGGAAACGACUGCUAAUACCGCAUACGAUCUAAUCUCGGCAUCGAGGAUAGAUGAAAGGUGGCCUCUACAUGUAAGCUAUCACUGAAGGAGGGGAUUGCGUCUGAUUAGCUAGUUGGAGGGGUAACGGCCUACCAAGGCGAUGAUCAGUAGCCGGUCUGAGAGGAUGAACGGCCACAUUGGGACUGAGACACGGCCCAGACUCCUACGGGAGGCAGCAGUGGGGAAUCUUCCGCAAUGGACGAAAGUCUGACGGAGCAACGCCGCGUGAGUGAUGACGGCCUUCGGGUUGUAAAGCUCUGUUAAUCGGGACGAAAGGCCUUCUUGCGAAUAGGGAGAAGGAUUGACGGUACCGGAAUAGAAAGCCACGGCUAACUACGUG